GACGAACGCUGGCGGCGUGCUUAACACAUGCAAGUCGAACGGAAAGGCCCUGCUUUUGUGGGGUGCUCGAGUGGCGAACGGGUGAGUAACACGUGAGUAACCUGCCCUUGACUUUGGGAUAACUUCAGGAAACUGGGGCUAAUACCGGAUAGGAGCUCCUGUUGCAUGGUGGGGGUGGGAAAGUCUCGGCGGUUGGGGAUGGACUCGCGGCUGAUCAGCUUGCUGGUGGGGUAGUGGCUUGCCAAGGCUUUGGCGGGUAGCCGGCCUGAGAGGGUGACCGGCCACAUUGGGACUGCGAUACGGCCCAGACUCCUACGGGAGGCAGCAGUGGGGAAUAUUGCACAAUGGGCGCAAGCCUGAGGCAGCGACCCUGCGUGCGGGAUGACGGCCUUCGGGUUGUAAACCGCUUUCGCCUGUGACGAAGCGUGAGUGACGGUAAUGGGUAAAGAAGCACCGGCUAACUACGUG
rnacentral:rRNA from 1 species